rnacentral:rRNA from 1 species
CAGUCGCCGCGGUAAUACGAGGGGGGCAAGCGUUGUUCGGAAUUAUUGGGCGUAAAGGGCGCGUAGGCGGAUUGAUCAGUCAGACGUGAAAUUCCUGGGCUCAACCUGGGGGCUGCGUUUGAGACGGUCGAUCUAGAGUUUGGAAGAGGGUCGUGGAAUUCCCAGUGUAGAGGUGAAAUUCGUAGAUAUUGGGAAGAACACCGGUGGCGAAGGCGGCGACCUGGUCCUUGACUGACGCUGAGGCGCGAAAGCGUGGGGAGCAAACAGGAUUAGAUACCCCAGUAGUCCCUGUCUCUUAUAC